UUAAGCGACUAAGCGUACACGGUGGAUGCCCUGGCAGUCAGAGGCGAUGAAGGACGUGCUAAUCUGCGAUAAGCGUCGGUAAGGUGAUAUGAACCGUUAUAACCGGCGAUUUCCGAAUGGGGAAACCCAGUGUGUUUCGACACACUAUCAUUAACUGAAUCCAUAGGUUAAUGAGGCGAACCGGGGGAACUGAAACAUCUAAGUACCCCGAGGAAAAGAAAUCAACCGAGAUUCCCCCAGUAGCGGCGAGCGAACGGGGAGCAGCCCAGAGCCUGAAUCAGUGUGUGUGUUAGUGGAAGCGUCUGGAAAGGCGCGCGAUACAGGGUGACAGCCCCGUACACAAAAAUGCACAUAUUGUGAGCUCGAUGAGUAGGGCGGGACACGUGGUAUCCUGUCUGAAUAUGGGGGGACCAUCCUCCAAGGCUAAAUACUCCUGACUGACCGAUAGUGAACCAGUACCGUGAGGGAAAGGCGAAAAGAACCCCGGCGAGGGGAGUGAAAAAGAACCUGAAACCGUGUACGUACAAGCAGUGGGAGCCUCUUUUAUGGGGUGACUGCGUACCUUUUGUAUAAUGGGUCAGCGACUUAUAUUCUGUAGCAAGGUUAACCGAAUAGGGGAGCCGAAGGGAAACCGAGUCUUAACUGGGCGUUAAGUUGCAGGGUAUAGACCCGAAACCCGGUGAUCUAGCCAUGGGCAGGUUGAAGGUUGGGUAACACUAACUGGAGGACCGAACCGACUAAUGUUGAAAAAUUAGCGGAUGACUUGUGGCUGGGGGUGAAAGGCCAAUCAAACCGGGAGAUAGCUGGUUCUCCCCGAAAGCUAUUUAGGUAGCGCCUCGUGAAUUCAUCUCCGGGGGUAGAGCACUGUUUCGGCAAGGGGGUCAUCCCGACUUACCAACCCGAUGCAAACUGCGAAUACCGGAGAAUGUUAUCACGGGAGACACACGGCGGGUGCUAACGUCCGUCGUGAAGAGGGAAACAACCCAGACCGCCAGCUAAGGUCCCAAAGUCAUGGUUAAGUGGGAAACGAUGUGGGAAGGCCCAGACAGCCAGGAUGUUGGCUUAGAAGCAGCCAUCAUUUAAAGAAAGCGUAAUAGCUCACUGGUCGAGUCGGCCUGCGCGGAAGAUGUAACGGGGCUAAACCAUGCACCGAAGCUGCGGCAGCGACACUAUGUGUUGUUGGGUAGGGGAGCGUUCUGUAAGCCUGUGAAGGUGUACUGUGAGGUAUGCUGGAGGUAUCAGAAGUGCGAAUGCUGACAUAAGUAACGAUAAAGCGGGUGAAAAGCCCGCUCGCCGGAAGACCAAGGGUUCCUGUCCAACGUUAAUCGGGGCAGGGUGAGUCGGCCCCUAAGGCGAGGCCGAAAGGCGUAGUCGAUGGGAAACAGGUUAAUAUUCCUGUACUUGGUGUUACUGCGAAGGGGGACGGAGAAGGCUAUGUUGGCCGGGCGACGGUUGUCCCGGUUUAAGCGUGUAGGCUGGUUUUCCAGGCAAAUCCGGAAAAUCAAGGCUGAGGCGUGAUGACGAGGCACUACGGUGCUGAAGCAACAAAUGCCCUGCUUCCAGGAAAAGCCUCUAAGCAUCAGGUAACAUCAAAUCGUACCCCAAACCGACACAGGUGGUCAGGUAGAGAAUACCAAGGCGCUUGAGAGAACUCGGGUGAAGGAACUAGGCAAAAUGGUGCCGUAACUUCGGGAGAAGGCACGCUGAUAUGUAGGUGAAGUCCCUCGCGGAUGGAGCUGAAAUCAGUCGAAGAUACCAGCUGGCUGCAACUGUUUAUUAAAAACACAGCACUGUGCAAACACGAAAGUGGACGUAUACGGUGUGACGCCUGCCCGGUGCCGGAAGGUUAAUUGAUGGGGUUAGCGCAAGCGAAGCUCUUGAUCGAAGCCCCGGUAAACGGCGGCCGUAACUAUAACGGUCCUAAGGUAGCGAAAUUCCUUGUCGGGUAAGUUCCGACCUGCACGAAUGGCGUAAUGAUGGCCAGGCUGUCUCCACCCGAGACUCAGUGAAAUUGAACUCGCUGUGAAGAUGCAGUGUACCCGCGGCAAGACGGAAAGACCCCGUGAACCUUUACUAUAGCUUGACACUGAACAUUGAGCCUUGAUGUGUAGGAUAGGUGGGAGGCUUAGAAGUGUGGACGCCAGUCUGCAUGGAGCCGACCUUGAAAUACCACCCUUUAAUGUUUGAUGUUCUAACGUUGACCCGUGAUCCGGGUUGCGGACAGUGUCUGGUGGGUAGUUUGACUGGGGCGGUCUCCUCCUAAAGAGUAACGGAGGAGCACGAAGGUUGGCUAAUCCUGGUCGGACAUCAGGAGGUUAGUGCAAUGGCAUAAGCCAGCUUGACUGCGAGCGUGACGGCGCGAGCAGGUGCGAAAGCAGGUCAUAGUGAUCCGGUGGUUCUGAAUGGAAGGGCCAUCGCUCAACGGAUAAAAGGUACUCCGGGGAUAACAGGCUGAUACCGCCCAAGAGUUCAUAUCGACGGCGGUGUUUGGCACCUCGAUGUCGGCUCAUCACAUCCUGGGGCUGAAGUAGGUCCCAAGGGUAUGGCUGUUCGCCAUUUAAAGUGGUACGCGAGCUGGGUUUAGAACGUCGUGAGACAGUUCGGUCCCUAUCUGCCGUGGGCGCUGGAGAACUGAGGGGGGCUGCUCCUAGUACGAGAGGACCGGAGUGGACGCAUCACUGGUGUUCGGGUUGUCAUGCCAAUGGCACUGCCCGGUAGCUAAAUGCGGAAGAGAUAAGUGCUGAAAGCAUCUAAGCACGAAACUUGCCCCGAGAUGAGUUCUCCCUGACCCUUUAAGGGUCCUGAAGGAACGUUGAAGACGACGACGUUGAUAGGCCGGGUGUGUAAGCGCAGCGAUGCGUUGAGCUAACCGGUACUAAUGAACCGUGAGGCUUAACCUU
rnacentral:rRNA from 1 species